GGUUAAGUUAGAAAGGGCGCACGGUGGAUGCCUUGGCACUAGGAGCCGAUGAAGGACGGGACGAACACCGAUAUGCUUCGGGGAGCUGUAAGCAAGCUUUGAUCCGGAGAUUUCCGAAUGGGGAAACCCACCACUCGUAAUGGAGUGGUAUCCAUAUCUGAAUACAUAGGAUAUGAGAAGGCAGACCCGGGGAACUGAAACAUCUAAGUACCCGGAGGAAGAGAAAGCAAAUGCGAUUCCCUGAGUAGCGGCGAGCGAAACGGGACCAGCCCAAACCAAGAGGCUUGCCUCUUGGGGUUGUAGGACACUCUGUACGGAGUUACAAAGGAACGAGGUAGAUGAAGAGGUCUGGAAAGGCCCGCCAUAGGAGGUAACAGCCCUGUAGUCAAAACUUCGUUCUCUCCUGAGUGGAUCCUGAGUACGGCGGAACACGUGAAAUUCCGUCGGAAUCCGGGAGGACCAUCUCCCAAGGCUAAAUACUCCCUAGUGACCGAUAGUGAACCAGUACCGUGAGGGAAAGGUGAAAAGCACCCCGGAAGGGGAGUGAAAGAGAUCCUGAAACCGUGUGCCUACAAGUAGUCAGAGCCCGUUAACGGGUGAUGGCGUGCCUUUUGUAGAAUGAACCGGCGAGUUACGAUCCCGUGCAAGGUUAAGCAGAAGAUGCGGAGCCGCAGCGAAAGCGAGUCUGAAUAGGGCGAAUUGAGUACGUGGUCGUAGACCCGAAACCAGGUGAUCUACCCAUGUCCAGGGUGAAGUUCAGGUAACACUGAAUGGAGGCCCGAACCCACGCACGUUGAAAAGUGCGGGGAUGAGGUGUGGGUAGGGGUGAAAUGCCAAUCGAACCUGGAGAUAGCUGGUUCUCUCCGAAAUAGCUUUAGGGCUAGCCUCAAGGUAAGAGUCUCGGAGGUAGAGCACUGAUUGGACUAGGGGCCCCUACCGGGUUACCGAAUUCAGUCAAACUCCGAAUGCCGAUGACUUAUCCUUGGGAGUCAGACUGCGAGUGAUAAGAUCCGUAGUCGAAAGGGAAACAGCCCAGACCGCCAGCUAAGGUCCCAAAGUAUACGUUAAGUGGAAAAGGAUGUGGAGUUGCUUAGACAACCAGGAUGUUGGCUUAGAAGCAGCCACCAUUUAAAGAGUGCGUAAUAGCUCACUGGUCGAGUGACUCUGCGCCGAAAAUGUACCGGGGCUAAACGUAUCACCGAAGCUGCGGACUGUUCUUCGAACAGUGGUAGGAGAGCGUUCUAAGGGCUGUGAAGCAAGACCGGAAGGACUUGUGGAGCGCUUAGAAGUGAGAAUGCCGGUAUGAGUAGCGAAAGAGGGGUGAGAAUCCCCUCCACCGAAUGCCUAAGGUUUCCUGAGGAAGGCUCGUCCGCUCAGGGUUAGUCGGGACCUAAGCCGAGGCCGAAAGGCGUAGGCGAUGGAUAACAGGUUGAUAUUCCUGUACCACCUCCUCACCAUUUGAGCAAUGGGGGGACGCAGGAGGAUAGGGUAAGCGCGGUAUUGGAUAUCCGCGUCCAAGCAGUUAGGCUGGGAAAUAGGCAAAUCCGUUUCCCGUGAAGGCUGAGCUGUGAUGGCGAGCGAAUUAUAGUAGCGAAGUUCCUGAUUCCACACUGCCAAGAAAAGCCUCUAGCGAGGUGAGAGGUGCCCGUACCGCAAACCGACACAGGUAGGCGAGGAGAGAAUCCUAAGGUGAUCGAGAGAACUCUCGUUAAGGAACUCGGCAAAAUGACCCCGUAACUUCGGGAGAAGGGGUGCUCUGUUAGGGUGCAAGCCCGAGAGAGCCGCAGUGAAUAGGCCCAGGCGACUGUUUAGCAAAAACACAGGUCUCUGCGAAGCCGUAAGGCGAAGUAUAGGGGCUGACGCCUGCCCGGUGCUGGAAGGUUAAGAGGAGCGCUUAGCGUAAGCGAAGGUGCGAAUUGAAGCCCCAGUAAACGGCGGCCGUAACUAUAACGGUCCUAAGGUAGCGAAAUUCCUUGUCGGGUAAGUUCCGACCCGCACGAAAGGCGCAACGAUCUGGGCACUGUCUCAACGAGAGACUCGGUGAAAUUAUAGUACCUGUGAAGAUGCAGGUUACCCGCGACAGGACGGAAAGACCCCGUGGAGCUUUACUGCAGCCUGAUAUUGAAUGUUGGUACAGCUUGUACAGGAUAGGUAGGAGCCUUGGAAACCGGAGCGCCAGCUUCGGUGGAGGCAUCGGUGGGAUACUACCCUGGCUGUAUUGACCUUCUAACCCGCCGCCCUUAUCGGGCGGGGAGACAGUGUCAGGUGGGCAGUUUGACUGGGGCGGUCGCCUCCUAAAAGGUAACGGAGGCGCCCAAAGGUUCCCUCAGAAUGGUUGGAAAUCAUUCGCAGAGUGUAAAGGCACAAGGGAGCUUGACUGCGAGACCUACAAGUCGAGCAGGGACGAAAGUCGGGCUUAGUGAUCCGGUGGUUCCGCAUGGAAGGGCCAUCGCUCAACGGAUAAAAGCUACCCCGGGGAUAACAGGCUUAUCUCCCCAAGAGUCCACAUCGACGGGGAGGUUUGGCACCUCGAUGUCGGCUCAUCGCAUCCUGGGGCUGUAGUCGGUCCCAAGGGUUGGGCUGUUCGCCCAUUAAAGCGGUACGCGAGCUGGGUUCAGAACGUCGUGAGACAGUUCGGUCCCUAUCCGUCGCGGGCGCAGGAAAUUUGAGAGGAGCUGUCCUUAGUACGAGAGGACCGGGAUGGACGCACCGCUGGUGUACCAGUUGUUCUGCCAAGGGCAUCGCUGGGUAGCUAUGUGCGGACGGGAUAAGUGCUGAAAGCAUCUAAGCAUGAAGCCCCCUCAAGAUGAGAUUUCCCAUUCCGCAAGGAAGUAAGAUCCCUGAAAGAUGAUCAGGUUGAUAGGUCUGAGGUGGAAGUGUGGCGACACAUGGAGCUGACAGAUACUAAUCGAUCGAGGACUUAACCAA
rnacentral:rRNA from 2 species